rnacentral:rRNA from 1 species
AAUAGAUACCCCGGUAGUCCACCCCGUAAACGUUGGGAACUAGUUGUGGGGGCCUUUCCACGGUCUCCGUGACGCAGCUAACGCAUUAAGUUCCCCGCCUGGGGAGUACGGCCGCAAGGCUAAAACUCAAAGGAAUUGACGGGGACCCGCACAAGCGGCGGAGCAUGCGGAUUAAUUCGAUGCAACGCGAAGAACCUUACCAAGGCUUGACAUACACCGGAAAAGGCUGGAAACAGUCUCCCCCUUGUGGUCGGUGUACAGGUGGUGCAUGGUUGUCGUCAGCUCGUGUCGUGAGAUGUUGGGUUAAGUCCCGCAACGAGCGCAACCCUCGUUCUAUGUUGCCAGCACGUUAUGGUGGGAACUCAUGGGAUACUGCCGGGGUCAACUCGGAGGAAGGUGGGGAUGACGUCAAAUCAUCAUGCCCCUUAUGUCUUGGGCUUCACGCAUGCUACAAUGGCCGGUACAAAGGGCGGCGAUACCGUAAGGUGGAGCGAAUCCCAAAAGCCGGUCCCAGUUCGGAUUGAGGUCUGCAACUCGACCUCAUGAAGUCGGAGUCG